GGGACAAAAGACACCACCACGUUCCCACCUGGCUGCCCAAGAUCACUUGGCGGCGGAGAUGUUGCCUGCUGGUGUUCGAGGCCUGCGGGCCACCUACCACCAGGUGCUCGAUAAGGUGGAGCUGAUGUUGCCCAAGAAAUUGAGGCCGUUUUACAACCACCCGGCCGGCCCCAAAACAGUUUUUUUCUGGGCUCCAGUCAUGAAAUGGGGGUUGGUGUGUGCUGGAUUGGCUGACAUGGCCAGACCUGCAGAAAAACUCAGCACAGCCCAGUCUGCUGUUUUGAUGGCUACAGGGUUUAUUUGGUCAAGAUACUCACUUGUAAUUGUUCCAAAGAAUUGGAAUCUGUUUGCUGUUAAUUUCUUUGUGGGGACAGCAGGAGCCUCUCAGCUUUUUCGUAUUUGGAGAUAUAACCAAGAACUCAAGGCUAAAGCAAACAAAUAAAAGAGUUCCUGAUCACCUGAACAAUCUAGAUGUGGACAUAACCACUGGGACCUAGUUUAUUAUUUGAUGAUUAAUAAGGCAAUGCUAACUGUGCUAACAUUUGGAAGGCCCCAAAAUAUCUAACUGUAACAUGGUAGCUAGUGCUUGAUUCAACAGAAAAAUAAAGGAAACUUUUAAUAGUCUAUCUUUACAUAUGACUUAAGGAACUUAUCCGUGGAUAUUAGUAACAUUUUUCCAACCAUUUGUCCAUAAUAAAUUAUACUUGCUCAAAAAAAAAA